rnacentral:rRNA from 1 species
GCUUAACGUUGUCCUGCUAUAGAAACUAUUAGACUAGAGUGAGAUAGAGGCAAGUGGAAUACCAUGUGUAGCGGUAAAAUGCGUAAAUA